rnacentral:rRNA from 1 species
AUGAACGCUGGCGGCGUGCCUAAUACAUGCAAGUCGAGCGAACGGACGAGAAGCUUGCUUUUCUGAUGUUAGCGGCGGACGGGUGAGUAACACGUGGAUAACCUACCUAUAAGACUGGGAUAACUUCGGGAAACCGGAGCUAAUACCGGAUAAUAUUUUGAACCGCAUGGUUCAAAAGUGAAAGACGGUCUUGCUGUCACUUAUAGAUGGAUCCGCGCUGCAUUAGCUAGUUGGUAAGGUAACGGCUUACCAAGGCAACGAUGCAUAGCCGACCUGAGAGGGUGAUCGGCCACACUGGAACUGAGACACGGUCCAGACUCCUACGGGAGGCAGCAGUAGGGAAUCUUCCGCAAUGGGCGAAAGCCUGACGGAGCAACGCCGCGUGAGUGAUGAAGGUCUUCGGAUCGUAAAACUCUGCUACUAGGGAAGAACAUAUGUGUAAGUAACUGUGCACAUCUUGACGGUACCUAAUCAGAAAGCCACGGCUAACUACGUG